rnacentral:rRNA from 1 species
UGGCGGACGGGUGAGUAACGCGUGGAUAACCUGCCGUAUACAGGGGGAUAACACUUAGAAAUAGGUGCUAAUACCGCAUAAGCGCACGGUUCCGCAUGGAACAGUGUGAAAAACUCCGGUGGUAUACGAUGGAUCCGCGUCUGAUUAGCCAGUUGGCGAGGUAACGGCCCACCAAAGCGACGAUCAGUAGCCGGCCUGAGAGGGUGAACGGCCACAUUGGGACUGAGACACGGCCCAAACUCCUACGGAAGGCAGCAG